rnacentral:rRNA from 1 species
AUUGAACGCUGGCGGCAGGCCUAACACAUGCAAGUCGAGCGGAUGAAGGGAGCUUGCUCCUGGAUUCAGCGGCGGACGGGUGAGUAAUGCCUAGGAAUCUGCCUGGUAGUGGGGGAUAACGUCCGGAAACGGGCGCUAAUACCGCAUACGUCCUGAGGGAGAAAGUGGGGGAUCUUCGGACCUCACGCUAUCAGAUGAGCCUAGGUCGGAUUAGCUAGUUGGUGGGGUAAAGGCCUACCAAGGCGACGAUCCGUAACUGGUCUGAGAGGAUGAUCAGUCACACUGGAACUGAGACACGGUCCAGACUCCUACGGGAGGCAGCAGUGGGGAAUAUUGGACAGUGGGCGAAAGCCUUAUCCAGCCAUGCCGCGUGUGUGAAGAAGGUCUUCGGAUUGUAAAGCACUUUAAGUUGGGAGGAAGGGCAGUAAGUUAAUACCUUGCUGUUUUGACGUUACCAACAGAAUAAGCACCGGCUAACUUCGUG